GACGAACGCUGGCGGCGUGCUUAACACAUGCAAGUCGAACGGUAAGGCCCUUCGGGGUACACGAGUGGCGAACGGGUGAGUAACACGUGGGUGAUCUGCCCUGCACUUCGGGAUAAGCCUGGGAAACUGGGUCUAAUACCGGAUAGGACCACUGCCUGCAUGGGUGGUGGUGGAAAGCUUUUGCGGUGUAGGAUGGGCCCGCGGCCUAUCAGCUUGUUGGUGGGGUGAUGGCCUACCAAGGCGACGACGGGUAGCCGGCCUGAGAGGGUGACCGGCCACACUGGGACUGAGAUACGGCCCAGACUCCUACGGGAGGCAGCAAUGGGGAAUAUUGCACAAUGGGCGCAAGCCUGAUGCAGCGACGCCGCGUGAGGGAUGACGGCCUUCGGGUUGUAAACCUCUUUCAGCACCGACGAAGCGCAAGUGACGGUAGGUGCAGAAGAAGGACCGGCCAACUACGUGCCAGCCGCCGCGGUAA
rnacentral:rRNA from 1 species